CGUGGGUCGGAGUUAGGGAUUCCAGAUGGGGCUGGGUCGCAGCUGGGUCGCAGCUGGGAUGCAUGGGCAAGGCUGGAUACAUAGAUCUCUUCUAUGGACACAUAGACACACAGAUACACAGAUCCUGUUCUGAAGAAGUAUACACCAGGGAAAGGUGACACCACAGGUCAGACAGGUUGUUACCCUGGAGCACAGAGUGGAAGGGGAGAUAAAGGAGGACAGUGACUUGUCUUAAGUGGUCAAGAAAGACUUCGUGGAGAAGUCGAUAAAGAAGCUGCCCCGUGAAAGGGACCAGAAGGCCAAGGGGGUGUCUGAAUCUGUACAGUGCCUACCUUGUAGGCAUGAAGACUUAAGGCUCUGGGCGUGGCGGCAGACAUUCGGCACAGGAGAAACAAAGACAGGCAGAUCUUGGGGGCUUGGGGGUCAGACAGCCUAAUUCAUUUGGUGGGCUCCGGGCCAGUGAUAAAUCCUGUCUCAAAAAACCAAAGUGGAUGGUUUCUCAAGAAAUGGGUCCCAGAGUUGACCUCUUGCUUCCACACACAUGUUCACACCCACAUACAUAUGUAUACCCCCUCCACCACAUAUACAGAUGCAUCGCACAUACAUUAACCAUCCUCUGGACAUGCCCCCAGACAUCCCGGCAGAUGUCCCCUGAGACAAAGGUGUAGGGACAGUGGAA
rnacentral:lncRNA from 1 species